UACGUAGGUGACAAGCGUUGUCCGGAUUUACUGGGCGUAAAGAGCGCGCAGGCGGUCGUUCAAGUCGAGUGUGAAAGCCCCCGGCUCAACUGGGGAGGGUCAUUCGAUACUGAUCGACUCGAAGGCAGGAGAGGGUAGUGGAAUUCCCGGUGUAGUGGUGAAAUGCGUAGAUAUCGGGAGGAACACCAGUGGCGAAGGCGACUACCUGGCCUGUUCUUGACGCUGAGGCGCGAAAGCUGGGGGAGCAAACGGG
rnacentral:rRNA from 1 species